rnacentral:rRNA from 1 species
AACAUGGAGAGUUUGAUCCUGGCUCAGGAUGAACGCUGGCGGCGUGCCUAACACAUGCAAGUCGAACGGGAUCUUCGGAUCCAGUGGCGGACGGGUGAGUAACGCGUGGGAAUCUGCCCUUGGGAGGGGGAUAACAGUGGGAAACCGCUGCUAAUACCCCAUAUGCCGUGAGGUGAAAGGAAUUUCGCCCGGGGAUGAGCCCGCGUCUGAUUAGCUAGUUGGUGGGGUAAUGGCCCACCAAGGCUUCGAUCAGUAGCUGGUCUGAGAGGAUGAUCAGCCACACUGGGACUGAGACACGGCCCAGACUCCUACGGGAGGCAGCAGUGGGGAAUUUUCCGCAAUGGGCGAAAGCCUGACGG